rnacentral:rRNA from 1 species
UACGUAGGGGGCAAGCGUUGUCCGGAAUCAUUGGGCGUAAAGCGCGCGUAGGCGGCCCGGUAAGUCCGCUGUAAAAGUCCAGGGCUCAACCCUGGAAUGCCGGUGGAUACUGUCGGGCUAGAGUCCGGAAGAGGCGAGUGGAAUUCCUGGUGUAGCGGUGGAAUGCGCAGAUAUCAGGAGGAACACCGAUGGCGAAGGCAGCUCGCUGGGACGGUACUGACGCCUGAGGCGCGAAGGCCAGGGGAGCAAACGGG